rnacentral:rRNA from 1 species
AUUGAACGCUGGCGGCAUGCCUUACACAUGCAAGUCGAACGGUAACGGGCCUUCGGGUGCCGACGAGUGGCGAACGGGUGCGUAAUACAUCGGAACGUGCCCGAUCGUGGGGGAUAACGAGGCGAAAGCUUUGCUAAUACCGCAUACGAUCUACGGAUGAAAGCAGGGGACCGCAAGGCCUUGCGCGGACGGAGCGGCCGAUGGCAGAUUAGGUAGUUGGUGGGAUAAAAGCUUACCAAGCCGACGAUCUGUAGCUGGUCUGAGAGGAUGAUCAGCCACACUGGGACUGAGACACGGCCCAGACUCCUACGGGAGGCAGCAGUGGGGAAUUUUGGACAAUGGGCGGAAGCCUGAUCCAGCCAUGCCGCGUGCAGGAUGAAGGCCUUCGGGUUGUAAACUGCUUUUGUACGGAACGAAAAGCCUUCUUUUAAUACAGGAGGGUCAUGACGGUACCGUAAGAAUAAGCACCGGCUAACUACGUG